rnacentral:rRNA from 1 species
AUGGCUAUCUUGAAGCGGUGCCUAGCGAGCGCCGAGACCUGCUCGUUGCUUCUCAUCUUCUUCGUCCGGGCUGUUGUGGAGCGUGCACACGCGGCCCACGAGCGGGUCGCCAAGGACGAGGAUGCGGCGUACAAAGCCGCAUGCGACGCACUGGCGGCGGCCAGCAAGCAGCUCGGCGAACUCGGCCUGAGGGUCGACGACUGCAGCCAGAAGGUGCGCCAACGGCUGGACGACGAUGAUCUCUGGGCUGCUUUGGCCACCGAGCAGCAGGAGGAGGAGAGGCUCAUGGCCGAGGUGGAGCGCGCCAGGCAGGACGUCGACAGGAAGAAGCCAAAGGAAGAUACAGGAGAAGUGUAA